UAGAUUGGGGCUCGCUGGAUUGAGCGUUUAGCUGUUAACUAAAAAGUUAUGGGAUAAAAGCCCAUCAAUCUAA
rnacentral:tRNA from 1 species